rnacentral:rRNA from 1 species
CCUACGGGGGGCAGCAGUGAGGAACAUUGGUCAAUGGACGAGAGUCUGAACCAGCCAAGUAGCGUGAAGGAUGACUGCCCUAUGGGUUGUAAACUUCUUUUAUAUGGGAAUAAAACGUUCCACGUGUGGGAUUUUGUAUGUACCAUAUGAAUAAGGAUCGGCUAACUCCGUGCCAGCAGCCGCGGUAAUACGGAGGAUCCGAGCGUUAUCCGGAUUUAUUGGGUUUAAAGGGAGCGUAGGUGGAUUGUUAAGUCAGUUGUGAAAGUUUGCGGCUCAACCGUAAAAUUGCAGUUGAAACUGGCAGUCUUGAGUACAGUAGAGGUGGGCGGAAUUCGUGGUGUAGCGGUGAAAUGCUUAGAUAUCACGAAGAACUCCGAUUGCGAAGGCAGUUCACUGGACUGCAACUGACACUGAGGCUCGAAAGUGUGGGUAUCAAACAGGAUUAGAUACCCUUGUAGUC